AUUGAACGCUGGCGGCAGGCCUAACACAUGCAAGUCGAGCGGAUGAAGGGAGCUUGCUCCUGGAUUCAGCGGCGGACGGGUGAGUAAUGCCUAGGAAUCUGCCUGGUAGUGGGGGAUAACGUUCGGAAACGGGCGCUAAUACCGCAUACGUCCUGAGGGAGAAAGUGGGGGAUCUUCGGACCUCACGCUAUCAGAUGAGCCUAGGUCGGAUUAGCUAGUUGGUGGGGUAAAGGCCUACCAAGGCGACGAUCCGUAACUGGUCUGAGAGGAUGAUCAGUCACACUGGAACUGAGACACGGUCCAGACCCCUACGGGAGGCAGCAGUGGGGAAUAUUGGACAAUGGGCGAAAGCCUGAUCCAGCCAUGCCGCGUGUGUGAAGAAGGUCUUCGGAUUGUAAAGCACUUUAAGUUGGGAGGAAGGGCAGUAAGUUAAUACCUUGCUGUUUUGACGUUACCAACAGAAUAAGCACCGGCUAACUUCGUG
rnacentral:rRNA from 1 species